rnacentral:rRNA from 1 species
AGUGAACGCUGGCGGUAGGCCUAACACAUGCAAGUCGAACGGCAGCACAGUAAGAGCUUGCUCUUACGGGUGGCGAGUGGCGGACGGGUGAGGAAUACAUCGGAAUCUACUUUUUCGUGGGGGAUAACGUAGGGAAACUUACGCUAAUACCGCAUACGACCUACGGGUGAAAGCAGGGGAUCUUCUGACCUUGCGCGAUUGAAUGAGCCGAUGUCGGAUUAGAUAGUUGGCGGGGUUAAGGCCCACCAAGGCGACGAUCCGUAGCUGGUCUGAGAGGAUGAUCAGCCACACUGGAACUGAGACACGGUCCAGACUCCUACGGGAGGCAGCAGUGGGGAAUAUUGGACAAUGGGCGCAAGCCUGAUCCAGCCAUACCGCGUGGGUGAAGAAGGCCUUCGGGUUGUAAAGCCCUUUUGUUGGGAAAGAAAAGCAGCAGGUUAAUACCCCGCUGUUCUGACGGUACCCAAAGAAUAAGCACCGGCUAACUUCGUG